rnacentral:rRNA from 1 species
AUUGAACGCUGGCGGCAGGCCUAACACAUGCAAGUCGAACGAGUGGCGGACGGGUGAGUAAUGUCUGGGAAACUGCCUGAUGGAGGGGGAUAACUACGGGAAACGGUAGCUAAUACCGCAUACCAUCGGAUGUGCCCAGAUUGGAUUAGCUAGUAGGUGGGGGAACGGCGCACCUAGGCGCCGAUCCCUAGCUGGUCUGAGAGGAUUACCAGCCACACUGGAACUGAGACACGGUCCAGACUCCUACGGGGGGCAGCAGUGGGGAACAUUGCACAAUGGGCGCAAGCCUGAAGCAGCCAUGCCGCGGGUAUGAAGAAGGCCUUCGGGUUGUAAAGUACUUUCAGCGGGGAGGCGUUACCCGCAGAAGAAGCACCGGCUAACUCCGUGCCAGCCGCCGCGGUAAAC